AAGGCAACAACCGUACAUCCAUGUUGUCAAACUGUCACGGUAAACGAAACACGGCGGCAGCUAGAGCGGCUGCAAAGGUCAAGCGGCGGGUCUACGUCCUAAACACGCGGCGUCACUCGGAGAUUUAAACCCUGCACUCCCUCGUAUAGGAGCAUCAAUCAAAACAAACAAGGUUCACCGCGCUCCUCUUUCCACCUGGUUCCCAGGUCUGCAACCUGCAAUGGCGUGAUUUAACCUGCUGUGAUGGGAGCGGUGAGCCGGGAAGGAGAAGACCGGGGUGUUUGUUUUACUCAUCUCACCCCCCCCAACCCCACCCCCCCCACACACACACACACACUUCCCCACGGCUAACUCCAGACAGUGGCUCUCUGUUUAGGGGUCACAGAGCUCUCAGGGACGCACAAUGGCGGCAUUCAGGGUGACCUGGCAUCGGGGCCCGAAGCAUCAGACGCAGCUCCACCGGCUCUGGAUGGCGAUGCGUUUGUCAGCUCCCUCUGUGAACUCAUUCUGAUAACGAAUAAUAGCCGUGAAUUCCACGUCGGACAAGGUGGAUACUUGUUAGGAUUGUUUCAGACUAGAAAGAAGGAAAAAAACACAUUGAGGAAAAUGGGGUCGAUUUGUUUUCUCUGCAUAGAUAAA